UCUAAUAUGGCAGAAUAGUGCAAUGAAUUUAAGAUUCAUAUAUAAACAAAAAAUUUUGUUAGAA
rnacentral:tRNA from 1 species